GAUGAACGCUGGCGGCGUGCCUAAUACAUGCAAGUCGAGCGAACGGACGAGAAGCUUGCUUUUCUGAUGUUAGCGGCGGACGGGUGAGUAACACGUGGAUCACCUACCUCUAAUACUUGGAUAACUUCGGGAAACCGGAGCUAAUACCGGAUAAUAUUUUGAACCGCAUGGUUCAAAAGUGAAAGACGGUCUUGCUGUCACUUAUAGAUGGAUCCGCGCUGCAUUAGCUAGUUGGUAAGGUAACGGCUUACCAAGGCAACGAUGCAUAGCCGACCUGAGAGGGUGAUCGGCCACACUGGAACUGAGACACGGUCCAGACUCCUACGGGAGGCAGCAGUAGGGAAUCUUCCGCAAUGGGCGAAAGCCUGACGGAGCAACGCCGCGUGAGUGAUGAAGGUCUUCGGAUCGUAAAACUCUGUUAUUAGGGAAGAACAUAUGUGUAAGUAACUGUGCACAUCUUGACGGUACCUAAUCAGAAAGCCACGGCUAACUACGUG
rnacentral:rRNA from 1 species